AACGAACGCUGGCGGCAGGCUUAACACAUGCAAGUCGAAGGUGAAGCUGGGCUUCGGCCCAGUGGAAACUGGCGCACGGGUGAGUAACGCGUGGGAAUCUACCUAGUGGUUCAGAAUAACCGCGGGAAACUGCGGCUAAUACUGAAUAAGCCCUCCGGGGGAAAGAUUUAUCGCCAUUAGAUGAGCCCGCGUCGGAUUAGCUUGUUGGUGAGGUAACGGCUCACCAAGGCGACGAUCCGUAGCUGGUCUGAGAGGAUGAUCAGCCACACUGGGACUGAGACACGGCCCAGACUCCUACGGGAGGCAGCAGUGGGGAAUAUUGGACAAUGGGCGCAAGCCUGAUCCAGCCAUGCCGCGUGAGUGAUGAAGGCCUUAGGGUCGUAAAGCUCUUUCACCGGGGAAGAUAAUGACGGUACCCGGAGAAGAAGCCCCGGCUAACUCCGUG
rnacentral:rRNA from 1 species